UUGAUUGCACACAUACUAUUUGGUCUAUCCUUAACACCACCAAAAUUCUUCCUUACCCAACUUUCAAGGCCAGAGACGAAUCUGUAGGACUAAUAACAAUAACGUUAUAAUCAAUUGAAUACAAUUGUGAAAUAUAAAUUAACUAAUUUUUGAAAUGAAUUUAAAUUCUCUCUUUGCUCGUCUACAACCCCUAAAAUUUCAGAGCCGGUUCUGCUGGUGACUGGUCACAUGAGGAAGAAUGAGGUGGCACCUGCAAAAUAAGACUAGAAAGCACUUACACGUGAGAGAAAGAAGACUAGUAGUAUAAAUAGAAGAUGGAUUUUAACAGAAUCUUUAUGCAUCUUGUGGUGAUGUAUCUGGGAGAGUUAGGGACUCUUUAAUAAACCCUAGGAUCUGGAGAUUGGGAGAUUUUAACCUGAGUUCUUGAGCAGUAUAGUAGUGUGUUCUUAUCAGAUUCUUAGAAAUUCCAGGAUUUAUAUAUUAAGUGAGUUUUGAUAGCCUGGUCGUGUAGCUCAUGGGUUCGAUCAAGGCAGAGAAUAGAGGGAGAGAGAAAAAGAUCUAAUGGCCUUGGAUCAAAGCAAGAGUAUACUUUCAAGAGGUCUUCCCAGCAUCCACCACGUGAACGAUGCAAAUAUGGAGAGACGAGGAAACAAGAAGUUUAUGUUGAGAGUUGAGACAACCCCAAGAUAUGACAAAUCAUCUCCUACUGUGGAGCAAGCAAACAAAUUUGUUGCCUCAACCACUGCAUCAUGUUAAUGGCAAAAGCA